rnacentral:lncRNA from 1 species
UCUUGAGACUAUUGCUUUGCUGAAAACAUUUGACAGCCACUCUGGAAUGUGACACUUAAGGGGCUGGGUACCCUGGUUCCUCAGCUCUUGACCAGCUCAGAAGAUGAUUAGCAAGCUGAGAAAUUUGAACCAGAUGGUGUAACCCUCAUAUGGGGGACCCAAGAGGAUGUUGUAUAUUGCCAAAAACCAGCUACACUGCAUACUCUUAGAGAAGAAAUUGAAAAUGUAUGGACAGCGAUCUCAAUAAGCAAGGUUACCCAAGGAGCAGUUUGCUGUACUAAUAAAUGUCUGAAAGCUAAUGGCCACUACUUUGGGCACCUCUUGUAAUUGCAGAGGCUAAUAACUGGUAUUAAUCUCGUGAUGUCUCAAUCAAUUUAGUAUUAAAACAUUUGUGUAAGUUUUUAUUUUCCUGAAGUGUGCAUACAUUUUUUUGGCAGAUUCUGUAUAACACUAAAGACAUUGUCAUUAAUCACCCUCAAAGUAAUCCCUCUCACUUCAAAACCACUUACCCCAUCCCAUGAUUCUUGCCACUUUUUGAAACAGUUCUGGAAAUCCUUUUCCAUGGCUUUAGUUGCCUUGUUGUGGAUACCUCAAUGUCCUGAACUGAUUUAAAAUGCCUGCCUUUCAUGGACAGUUUGACCAUGGGGAAUAGCCAAAAGUCGCACCGUGCCAGAUCCAGUGAAUAAGAUGGAUAAAGACACACUACAAUGUUUCUGUUUGAUAGAAAUUGCCAUACAGGAAGCAAUGCAUAACACAAGAGUGCUGACAUGAUAGAGGAUCAAAUAAUUUGCUCACUUUUAGGCCAUUUUCUACACAUAUCAUUUCUUAAAUAUUCUAAUAAGCCCUUAUAAUAUUCAGAGUUCAUUGUAAUAUUCCUGGGUACAAACUCAGUUUACACAAUAUCAUCAAAAUAAAAAAAUCAACAUCAUUUUGAUGUUAGAUCUUGAUUGAUUUUUUUUUCCACACAAGGAAAACUGGGUGAUUUCU